AGGAAUAUGUGGUUUAAUUCGAUGAUACGCGAGGAACCUUACCUGGGCUUAAAUGGGGAGUGACAGCUGUCGAAAGAUGGUUUUCUUCGGACACUCUUCAAGGUGCUGCAUGGUUGUCGUCAGCUCGUGCCGUGAGGUGUCGGGUUAAGUCCCAUAACGAGCGCAACCCUUACCGUUAGUUACCAUCAGGUUAAGCUGGGGACUCUAGCGGGACUGCCACCGUAAGGUGAGAGGAAGGUGGGGAUGACGUCAAAUCAGCACGGCCCUUAUGUCCAGGGCUACACACGUGUUACAAUGGCCGGUACAAAGGGCAGCUACUUCGCGAGAAGAUGCUAAUCUCGAAAGCCGGUCUCAGUUCGGAUCGAAGUCUGCAACCCGACUUCGUGAAGCUGGAUUCGCUAGUAAUCGCGCAUCAGCCAUGGCGCGGUGAAUACGUUCCCGGGCCUU
rnacentral:rRNA from 1 species